AGGACGAACGCUGGCGGCGUGCUUAACACAUGCAAGUCGAGCGGAAAGGCCCUUCGGGGUACUCGAGCGGCGAACGGGUGAGUAACACGUGAGCAAUCUGCCCUUAGCUUCGGGAUAGCCCCGGGAAACCGGGAUUAAUACCGAAUACGACCUCGGCCGACAUCGGCUUUGGUGGAAAGUUUUUCGGCUAGGGAUGAACUCGCGGCCUAUCAGCUUGUUGGUGGGGUAAUGGCCUACCAAGGCGACGACGGGUAGCCGGCCUGAGAGGGCGACCGGCCACACUGGGACUGAGACACGGCCCAGACUCCUACGGGAGGCAGCAGUGGGGAAUAUUGCGCAAUGGGCGAAAGCCUGACGCAGCGACGCCGCGUGGGGGAUGAAGGCCUUCGGGUUGUAAACCCCGUUUCAGCAGGGACGAAGCGAGAGUGACGGUACCUGCAGAAGAAGCGCCGGCUAACUACGUGCCAGCAGCCGC
rnacentral:rRNA from 1 species